rnacentral:rRNA from 1 species
AGUGAACGCUGGCGGUAGGCCUAACACAUGCAAGUCGAACGGCAGCACAGUAAGAGCUUGCUCUUACGGGUGGCGAGUGGCGGACGGGUGAGGAAUACAUCGGAAUCUACUUUUUCGUGGGGGAUAACGUAGGGAAACUUACGCUAAUACCGCAUACGACCUACGGGUGAAAGCAGGGGAUCUUCGGACCUUGCGCGAUUGAAUGAGCCGAUGUCGGAUUAGCUAGUUGGCGGGGUAAAGGCCCACCAAGGCGACGAUCCGUAGCUGGUCUGAGAGGAUGAUCAGCCACACUGGAACUGAGACACGGUCCAGACUCCUACGGGAGGCAGCAGUGGGGAAUAUUGGACAAUGGGCGCAAGCCUGAUCCAGCCAUACCGCGUGGGUGAAGAAGGCCUUCGGGUGUUAAAGCCCUUUUGUUGGGAAAGAAAAGCAGCAGGUUAAUACCCCGCUGUUCUGACGGUACCCAAAGAAUAAGCACCGGCUAACUUCGUG